GACGUAGGGGGCGAGCGUUGUCCGGAUUUAUUGGGCGUAAAGCGCGUGUAGGCGGCUUUGCAAGUCGGGUGUGAAAGCCCUCAGCUCAACUGAGGAAGUGCGCCCGAAACUGCUUGGCUUGAGUACCGGAGAGGAUGGCGGAAUUCCCCAAGUAGAGGUGAAAUUCGUAGAUAUGGGGAGGAACACCGGUGGCGAAGGCGGCCAUCUGGACGGAUACUGACGCUGAGACGCGAAAGCGUGGGUAGCAAACAGG
rnacentral:rRNA from 1 species